AGACGGGGGGGCGAGCGUUGUUCGGAAUUACUGGGCGUAAAGGGCGCGCAGGCGGCCUGGGAAGUCUUGGGUGAAAGCCCCCAGCUCAACUGGGGAAUGGCCUGAGAAACCACUAGGCUGGAGUGCUGCAGAGGGAAGCGGAAUUCCCGGUGGAGCGGUGAAAUGCGUAGAUAUCGGGAGGAACACCAGAGGCGAAGGCGGCUUCCUGGACAGACACUGACGCUGAGGCGCGAAAGCUAGGGGAGCAAACGGAAUUAGAUACCCCAGUAGUCC
rnacentral:rRNA from 1 species